rnacentral:rRNA from 1 species
GACGUAGGUGGCGAACGUUAUCCGGAAUUAUUGGGCGUAAAGGGUGCGUAGGUGGCCUGGCAAGUUAUUAGUGGUAAAUCGAGGCUCAACCUCGUGGAACUAGUAAUACUGUUCGGCUUGAGUGCAGGAGAGGUUAACGGAACUCUAUGUGGAGGGGUAAAUCCAUAGAUAUAUGGAUGAACAUCAAUAACGGCGAAGGCAGUUAACUAUUCGUGUUACUGACACUGAGGCACGAAAGCGUGGGGGAGCAAAACGG